GGGUUGUGAGGUUAAGCGACUAAGCGUACACGGUGGAUGCCCUGGCAGUCAGAGGCGAUGAAGGGCGUGCUAAUCUGCGAUAAGCGCCGGUAAGGUGAUAUGAACCGUUAUAACCGGCGAUACCCGAAUGGGGAAACCCAGUGUGAUUCGUCACACUAUCAUUAACUGAAUCCAUAGGUUAAUGAGGCGAACCGGGGGAACUGAAACAUCUAAGUACCCCGAGGAAAAGAAAUCAACCGAGAUUCCCCCAGUAGCGGCGAGCGAACGGGGAGGAGCCCAGAGCCUGAAUCAGCAUGUGUGUUAGUGGAAGCGUCUGGAAAGGCGCGCGAUACAGGGUGACAGCCCCGUACACAAAAGCGCAUGUGCUGUGAGCUCGAUGAGUAGGGCGGGACACGUGGUAUCCUGUCUGAAUAUGGGGGGACCAUCCUCCAAGGCUAAAUACUCCUGACUGACCGAUAGUGAACCAGUACCGUGAGGGAAAGGCGAAAAGAACCCCGGCGAGGGGAGUGAAAAAGAACCUGAAACCGUGUACGUACAAGCAGUGGGAGCACCCUUUGGGGUGUGACUGCGUACCUUUUGUAUAAUGGGUCAGCGACUUAUAUUCUGUAGCAAGGUUAACCGCAUAGGGGAGCCGUAGGGAAACCGAGUCUUAACCGGGCGUUAAGUUGCAGGGUAUAGACCCGAAACCCGGUGAUCUAGCCAUGGGCAGGUUGAAGGUUGGGUAACACUAACUGGAGGACCGAACCGACUAAUGUUGAAAAAUUAGCGGAUGACCUGUGGCUGGGGGUGAAAGGCCAAUCAAACCGGGAGAUAGCUGGUUCUCCCCGAAAGCUAUUUAGGUAGCGCCUCGUGAAUUCAUCUCCGGGGGUAGAGCACUGUUUCGGCUAGGGGGCCAUCCCGGCUUACCAACCCGAUGCAAACUGCGAAUACCGGAGAAUGUUAUCACGGGAGACACACGGCGGGUGCUAACGUCCGUCGUGAAGAGGGAAACAACCCAGACCGCCAGCUAAGGUCCCAAAGUCAUGGUUAAGUGGGAAACGAUGUGGGAAGGCCCAGACAGCCAGGAUGUUGGCUUAGAAGCAGCCAUCAUUUAAAGAAAGCGUAAUAGCUCACUGGUCGAGUCGGCCUGCGCGGAAGAUGUAACGGGGCUAAACCAUGCACCGAAGCUGCGGCAGCGACACUGUGUGUUGUUGGGUAGGGGAGCGUUCUGUAAGCCUGUGAAGGUGGCCUGUGAGGGUUGCUGGAGGUAUCAGAAGUGCGAAUGCUGACAUAAGUAACGAUAAAGCGGGUGAAAAGCCCGCUCGCCGGAAGACCAAGGGUUCCUGUCCAACGUUAAUCGGGGCAGGGUGAGUCGACCCCUAAGGCGAGGCCGAAAGGCGUAGUCGAUGGGAAACGGGUUAAUAUUCCCGUACUUGGUGUUACUGCGAAGGGGGGACGGAGAAGGCUAUGUUGGCCGGGCGACGGUUGUCCCGGUUUAAGCGUGUAGGUGUGUGUUCCAGGUAAAUCCGGUUCACUUUAACACUGAGGCGUGAUGACGAGGCACUACGGUGCUGAAGCAACAAAUGCCCUGCUUCCAGGAAAAGCCUCUAAGCAUCAGGUAACAUCAAAUCGUACCCCAAACCGACACAGGUGGUCAGGUAGAGAAUACCAAGGCGCUUGAGAGAACUCGGGUGAAGGAACUAGGCAAAAUGGUGCCGUAACUUCGGGAGAAGGCACGCUGACACGUAGGUGAAGUGAUUUACUCAUGGAGCUGAAGUCAGUCGAAGAUACCAGCUGGCUGCAACUGUUUAUUAAAAACACAGCACUGUGCAAACACGAAAGUGGACGUAUACGGUGUGACGCCUGCCCGGUGCCGGAAGGUUAAUUGAUGGGGUCAGCGCAAGCGAAGCUCCUGAUCGAAGCCCCGGUAAACGGCGGCCGUAACUAUAACGGUCCUAAGGUAGCGAAAUUCCUUGUCGGGUAAGUUCCGACCUGCACGAAUGGCGUAAUGAUGGCCAGGCUGUCUCCACCCGAGACUCAGUGAAAUUGAACUCGCUGUGAAGAUGCAGUGUACCCGCGGCAAGACGGAAAGACCCCGUGAACCUUUACUAUAGCUUGACACUGAACAUUGAGCCUUGAUGUGUAGGAUAGGUGGGAGGCUUUGAAGCGUGGACGCCAGUCUGCGUGGAGCCAACCUUGAAAUACCACCCUUUAAUGUUUGAUGUUCUAACGUGGACCCGUAAUCCGGGUUGCGGACAGUGUCUGGUGGGUAGUUUGACUGGGGCGGUCUCCUCCUAAAGAGUAACGGAGGAGCACGAAGGUUGGCUAAUCCUGGUCGGACAUCAGGAGGUUAGUGCAAUGGCAUAAGCCAGCUUGACUGCGAGCGUGACGGCGCGAGCAGGUGCGAAAGCAGGUCAUAGUGAUCCGGUGGUUCUGAAUGGAAGGGCCAUCGCUCAACGGAUAAAAGGUACUCCGGGGAUAACAGGCUGAUACCGCCCAAGAGUUCAUAUCGACGGCGGUGUUUGGCACCUCGAUGUCGGCUCAUCACAUCCUGGGGCUGAAGUAGGUCCCAAGGGUAUGGCUGUUCGCCAUUUAAAGUGGUACGCGAGCUGGGUUUAGAACGUCGUGAGACAGUUCGGUCCCUAUCUGCCGUGGGCGCUGGAGAACUGAGGGGGGCUGCUCCUAGUACGAGAGGACCGGAGUGGACGCAUCACUGGUGUUCGGGUUGUCAUGCCAAUGGCACUGCCCGGUAGCUAAAUGCGGAAGAGAUAAGUGCUGAAAGCAUCUAAGCACGAAACUUGCCCCGAGAUGAGUUCUCCCUGAGACUUAGAGUCUCCUGAAGGAACGUUGAAGACGACGACGUUGAUAGGCCGGGUGUGUAAGCGCAGCGAUGCGUUGAGCUAACCGGUACUAAUGAACCGUGAGGCUUAACCUUACAACGCCGAAG
rnacentral:rRNA from 2 species